rnacentral:rRNA from 1 species
CCUACGGGUGGCAGCAGUGAGGAAUAUUGGUCAAUGGGCGAGAGCCUGAACCAGCCAAGUCGCGUGAGGGAAGACGGUCCUAUGGAUUGUAAACCUCUUUUGCCGGGGAGCAAAAAGCUGUACGCGUACCGCAUCGCGAGUACCCGGAGAAAAAGCAUCGGCUAACUCCGUGCCAGCAGCCGCGGUAAUAGGGGGGAUGCGAGCGUUAUCCGGAUUUAUUGGGUUUAACGGAUGCGCAGGGGGAGAGUUAAGUCAGCGGUAAAAUUUCGGGGCUCAACCCCGACAAGCCGUUGAAACUGGGUGGCUAGAGUGGGCGAGAAGUAUGCGGAAUGCGUGGUGUAGCGGUGAAAUGCAUAGAUAUCACGCAGAACUCCGAUUGCGAAGGCAGCAUACCGGCGCGCAACUGACGCUGAGGCACGAAAGCGUGGGUAUCGAACAGGAUUAGAUACCCGUGUAGUC